AUUGAACGCUGGCGGCAGGCCUAACACAUGCAAGUCGAGCGGAUGAAGGGAGCUUGCUCCUGGAUUCAGCGGCGGACGGGUGAGUAAUGCCUAGGAAUCUGCCUGGUAGUGGGGGAUAACGUCCGGAAACGGGCGCUAAUACCGCAUACGUCCUGAGGGAGAAAGUGGGGGAUCUUCGGGCCUCACGCUAUCAGAUGAGCCUAGGUCGGAUUAGCUAGUUGGUGGGGUAAAGGCCUACCAAGGCGACGAUCCGUAACUGGUCUGAGAGGAUGAUCAGUCACACUGGAACUGAGACACAGUCCAGACUCCUACGGGAGGCAGCAGUGGGGAAUAUUGGACAAUGGGCGAAAGCCUGAUCCAGCCAUGCCGCGUGUGUGAAGAAGGUCUUCGGAUUGUAAAGCACUUUAAGUUGGGAGGAAGGGCAGUAAGUUAAUACCUUGCUGUUUUGACGUUACCAACAGAAUAAGCACCGGCUAACUUCGUG
rnacentral:rRNA from 1 species